UCUGCCAAAACGUGGGAAGACCUUAUUGUGUCAACCUCACUCCCAUCAAGUCACAACAUUAGGUGGUGGGGUUAGGUGAACCAUAUCCUCACAUUCUUCACCUUGGUUCUCCUAACACUCUCUCUUGGUUGCGAAUUUGCACAUGGAAGAACAUCGCCCCACCUCCUGCAAGAAAAAUUAACCAGUGUCAAUGUGUAAUAAAGAUAAGCACAAUCUAAAUUUACUUGCAGGUAGAAUUUUUGUUCCCAUAUCAGAGGGAUUCCUAUCAGUGUGAAUUUUAACAAGAUUAACUUCACCUUGA
rnacentral:lncRNA from 1 species